rnacentral:rRNA from 2 species
GUUGACCUCGGAUCAGGUAGGAAUACCCGCUGAACUUAAGCAUAUCAAUAAGCGGAGGAAAAGAAACCAACAGGGAUUGCCCCAGUAACGGCGAGUGAAGCGGCAACAGCUCAAAUUUGAAAUCUGGCCCCCGGGUCCGAGUUGUAAUUUGUAGAGGAUGCUUUUGGCGAGGUGCCUUCCGAGUUCCCUGGAACGGGACGCCAUAGAGGGUGAGAGCCCCGUCUGGUCGGACACCGAGCCUCUGUAAAGCUCCUUCGACGAGUCGAGUAGUUUGGGAAUGCUGCUCAAAAUGGGAGGUAUAUGUCUUCUAAAGCUAAAUAUUGGCCAGAGACCGAUAGCGCACAAGUAGAGUGAUCGAAAGAUGAAAAGCACUUUGAAAAGAGGGUUAAAAAGUACGUGAAAUUGUUGAAAGGGAAGCGCCUAUGACCAGACUUGGGCCCGGUGAAUCAUCCAGCGUUCUCGCUGGUGCACUUUGCCGGGCACAGGCCAGCAUCAGUUUGGCGCGGGGGAAAAAGACUUUGGGAAUGUGGCUCCCUCGGGAGUGUUAUAGCCCAUUGUGUAAUACCCUGCGCCGGACUGAGGUACGCGCGAUUGCAAGGAUGACUGGCGUAAUGGUC